AUUGUCAAGGUAGAUAAUUCAAAGUUACACUAUAGAGAACCAAAUUCAACUUCAGCUCUAUGGAGUUUCAAUAACCUCGCACUCCUGCCCAUUCUACACAUUAAUGCGGUCCAGAAAUAUUUCAACCCGUCAAGACAUUAUGUUACCUGAUUCACAAAUUUCUACCUCCCUCUAUUAAUUCAUGGACGCAAAAAUCUAUAAAUCUUUGGGAAACAUGGUACAAUAAUGAAAUAUAUAUGAACACAAAACUACAUUUUUUUUUCUUGAAAAAAAAUAAUGAAUGCGUACUCUUCAAUUGAAAAAAAUAAAAAAAUAAAAAAAUAAAAUAACCCUAAAAUUGAACCAACAUUUCAACCAUCAAGCCAUAUAGAUCAACCAGCGAGCUACACAUAUCAACAUAAUUUUUACAUCUUGCGAAAAAAAUGCACAUAUGGUUAUAUAAACCAAAAAACUCAUAAAUUUAGAAGAACCCAUAACAAAUACCAAAUGUAACUUGCAUCUACUGACUACUGAGAAAUAUGCUCACCAAAAUAAUUUUUAACGAAUAAGUUACCCAAAAUAAGUUUAUCAUCUUCUACAUAGAAAUACAUUAGUUCUCAAACAUUAAAUAACAAAAAUAUUCUCUUCAUCUUCUAGAAUAAAAAUGUACAAAUGAGUAUUAGGAAAAGAAAAAAAAAAUCACUCUUAAAUUCAGAGGAACUCAACAACAUCGAAUAGCCAAAAUGGUACUUUAGAUAGGCACUCAUUUUUAUUGCAGAGAGUGAAGAUAACUCACAACAACGACUUGAGGAACGACAUGCGAUGACGGCAUCUUCACAGAGGAAAAGAAAGUUCAGUUGCCGUUGAUUCUUAGGGAGAUAUAGAGAAAUUGGGCUUUCAAGAGAUGCCCUAACAAAAUAAUUACGGUUACCGAGGAGAUAUCCAGCGCAAUUUGCAAGUUCCCCAUUUGGAGGAGUUUACAGAUUUCUUCAGUGCUUCAAGUGCCAUCUAGCAAUUGAGUCAUUAGGGCAAGAAACAUUCCAUGAAUUGUACCAAUUGCUACAUGGAAAAACUAGGAAACAGACUAACCAUAGUAACAACAUUAAUCCUUAAAAUAAUGAAAAACUAGAAACGAGAAGGCUGGUAGGAGAGAGAGAUUAUAUUCAGUCUACUGCAAUAAAUCAGGUAACCACAGGAGUCCCCACCCCCCACCCCACCAAAAAAGAAAAAAAGAAAAAACACUUAU
rnacentral:lncRNA from 1 species